GAUGAACGCUAGCUACAGGCUUAACACAUGCAAGUCGAGGGACCGGCGCACGGGUGAGUAACACGUAUCCAACCUGCCCUUUACUCGGGGAUAGCCUUUCGAAAGAAAGAUUAAUACCCGAUAUAAAGGAUGGGGAUGCGUUCCAUUAGGUUGUUGGUGAGGUAACGGCUCACCAAGCCUUCGAUGGAUAGGGGUUCUGAGAGGAAGGUCCCCCACAUUGGAAUUGUGACAUGUGCCAAAGUCCUACGGGAGGCAGCAGUGCGGAAUAGUGUUAAAUGGGCGCUAGCCUUAACCAGCCAAGUAGCGUGAAGGAUGAAGGCUUAUGGGUAGUAAAUUUCUUUUAUAUAAGAAUAUGUAUUAUAUGAAUAAGGAUCGGCUAACUCCGUGCCAGCAGCCGCGGUAAUAC
rnacentral:rRNA from 1 species